CCUACGGGGGGCUGCAGUGAGGAAUAUUGGUCAAUGGGCGCUAGCCUGAACCAGCCAAGUCGCGUGAAGGAUGACUGCCCUAUGGGUUGUAAACUUCUUUUAUAUGGGAGUAAAGUGCAGUAUGUAUACUGCUUUGCAUGUACCUUAUGAAUAAGGAUCGGCUAACUCCGUGCCAGCAGCCGCGGUAAUACGGAGGAUUCGAGCGUUAUCCGGAUUUAUUGGGUUUAAAGGGUGCGUAGGCGGGUUGUUAAGUCAGUGGUGAAAGUUUGCGGCUCAACCGUAGAAUUGCAGUUGAUACUGGCAUCCUUGAGUUUAGUAGAGGUAGGCGGAAUGCGUGGUGUAGCGGUGAAAUGCAUAGAGAUCACGAAGAACUCCGAUUGCGAAGGCAGCCUGCUGGACUGUAACUGACGCUGAUGCUCGAAAGUGUGGGGAGCAAACAGGAUUAGAUACCCUGGUAGUC
rnacentral:rRNA from 1 species